CCGAGCUGCGGCUUCGUCACUAGAGAUGCGUCGCGGCCGAAGGAGGAAAAGCCCGAGCCAGGGAGCGUGUCUGUUUCGCGUUACGUGGACGGAUCCUCCCCCAAGGUGGAGAAACUCAUCAUCGUUGUGUCCUCCGCCGCCGCCGACACCCUCCCACACCGCAGUUGAAGCCGAGUAGCUUCUGAAGCAGACUGUUCCACAGCUGAGGGUCGUACACCUGGUACUCCAAACACAGGUCUGCCACCAGCCGCACUGCCUGAAAUGAGAAAGUACCUGUGGCUCAUGACUGUGGUUCUUCCAGAGCCCUUUAACCAAGCCCUCUUUGGGACUACUGAGGAAAGACUGCACUGUGUAGGGGAUGUUUAAGGCCUCCAGUUGAGAGACAAAGAUAUAGCACUUCAGGUAUCAUGGCCUCAUACUGGAUUUUGGUCCUGGGGAUCUGUAACUGAGCCUCCAAAGUGUCUGCAUUGGCGAGGCGAACAAGACAAAGCAGCACUCGAGUCCGAUGGCUGAAGGUUUCAGCAGAUAGGAUAGGGUUUAGAAGACGGACAGCAUCAUCCAUGGGGCAAGACUGCAGCAUGUACACUACCCUGAGGGCAUCGAAAAACAAACCACAAUAAACAGAGCUGACAUAUUUUGGUGUUACAACUCUUUGCCCAGUCACUGUGGUUGUCAGAAAAUACAGUGACCGUCAACGUAUGACUCAGUAAAAUGCAAAGACAUUUUUCAUUCUUGACAGGCAACUGAAAAUGAUAGUUUUAAUGCUUUACUCUACAUUAAAAAAAAAUUUCAACCAAAAGAUGACAAACUUUCUACCAUGUAGUUAUUUUCAACAGAAAUUCAUUGAUAUCAGUGGUCACUCAACAUUAUUUUAAAGCACAGAUUUAAA